rnacentral:rRNA from 1 species
CUAUGCGCCUUGCCAGCCCGCUCAGAAACUUAAAGGAAUUGACGGGGGCCCGCACAAGCGGAGGAGCAUGUGGUUUAAUUCGAUGAUACGCGAGGAACCUUACCUGGGCUCGAACGUAAGAUGACUGUAGGUGAAAGCUUACAUCUCUUCGGAGCAUUUUACGAGGUGCUGCAUGGUUGUCGUCAGCUCGUGCCGUGAGGUGUCGGGUUAAGUCCCAUAACGAGCGCAACCCCUACCUUUAGUUGCCAUCAGGUUAAGCUGGGGACUCUAAAGGAACUGCCUACGCAAGUAGUGAGGAAGGCGGGGAUGACGUCAAAUCAGCACGGCCCUUACGUCCAGGGCUACACACGUGCUACAAUGGCCGGUACAAAGGGCAGCUACCUGGUGACAGGAUGCUAAUCUCAAAAGCCGGUCUCAGUUCGGAUCGGAGUCUGCAACCCGACUCCGUGAAGCUGGAAUCGCUAGUAAUCGUGGAUCAGCAUGCCACGGUGAAUACGUUCCCGGGCCUU